rnacentral:rRNA from 1 species
UACGUAGGGGGCGAGCGUUGUCCGGAUUUAUUGGGCGUAAAGAGCGUGUAGGCGGCCAAGCAGGUCCGCUGUGAAAACUCGAGGCUCAACCUCGAGACGUCGGUGGAAACCGUUUGGCUAGAGUCCGGAAGAGGAGAGUGGAAUUCCUGGUGUAGCGGUGAAAUGCGCAGAUAUCAGGAGGAACACCAAUGGCGAAGGCAGCUCGCUGGAACGGUACUGACGCUGAGGCGCGAAAGCGUGGGGAGCGAACAGG